rnacentral:lncRNA from 10 species
CAGUUCCCAAGCAGUGGCAUGGAAUGAGAAUGUGGUCUUAGGGCUCUAAUUCUCUAUCAGGGCACUCCUACCUGGAGACCAGCUGAACACAGAGCAAAGUACAAUUUACCAAGAUAGAGAAAAUUUGAUGCUGGACUGUGAUGAUGCCCUGUUUGCGGAAAAUCAAGAUCAGAAACCUGAAAACACUUUGCGGGAGUCACACUCUCUACGCAAAGUAUAUAUACAUUAAAGGUAAAACCAUAUGAUGAAAUAUUUUUCUAUUGUGCUGUUGCUGAAGGUUGGUGAAACCAAAGACAAGGCACACUUAAGUUGCCAGAAUAGUCAAGAAAAAGAACUGAGGUGAAAAAUUGGCC